UGGGCCUUUACCCAUGCAAGUCGAACGGCAGCGGGGGUAGCUUGCUACCUGCCGGCGAGUGGCGAACGGGUGAGUAAUACAUCGGAACGUGCCCUGUAGUGGGGGAUAACUAGUCGAAAGACUAGCUAAUACCGCAUACGACCUGAGGGUGAAAGUGGGGGACCGCAAGGCCUCAUGCUAUAGGAGCGGCCGAUGUCUGAUUAGCUAGUUGGUGGGGUAAAGGCCCACCAAGGCGACGAUCAGUAGCUGGUCUGAGAGGACGAUCAGCCACACUGGGACUGAGACACGGCCCAGGCUCCUACGGGAGGCAGCAGUGKGGAAUUUUGGACAAUGGGGGCAACCCUGAUCCAGCAAUGCCGCGUGUGUGAAGAAGGCCUUCGGGUUGUAAAGCACUUUUGUCCGGAAAGAAAUCGCACUGGUUAAUACCUGGUGUGGAUGACGGUACCGGAAGAAUAAGGACCGGCUAACUACGUGCCAGCAGCCGCGGUAAUACGUAGGGUCCAAGCGUUAAUCGGAAUUACUGGGCGUAAAGCGUGCGCAGGCGGUUGUGCAAGACCGAUGUGAAAUCCCCGGGCUUAACCUGGGAAUUGCAUUGGUGACUGCACGGCUAGAGUGUGUCAGAGGGAGGUAGAAUUCCACGUGUAGCAGUGAAAUGCGUAGAGAUGUGGAGGAAUACCGAUGGCGAAGGCAGCCUCCUGGGAUAACACUGACGCUCAUGCACGAAAGCGUGGGGAGCAAACAGGAUUAGAUACCCUGGUAGUCCACGCCCUAAACGAUGUCAACUAGUUGUUGGGGAUUCAUUUCCUUAGUAACGUAGCUAACGCGUGAAGUUGACCGCCUGGGGAGUACGGUCGCAAGAUUAAAACUCAAAGGAAUUGACGGGGACCCGCACAAGCGGUGGAUGAUGUGGAUUAAUUCGAUGCAACGCGAAAAACCUUACCUACCCUUGACAUGCCACUAACGAAGCAGAGAUGCAUUAGGUGCUCGAAAGAGAAAGUGGACACAGGUGCUGCAUGGCUGUCGUCAGCUCGUGUCGUGAGAUGUKGGGUUAAGUCCCGCAACGAGCGCAACCCUUGUCUCUAGUUGCUACGAAAGGGCACUCUAGARAAGACUGCCGGUGACAAACCGGAGGAAGGUGGGGAUGACGUCAAGUCCUCAUGGCCCUUAUGGGUAGGGCUUCACACG
rnacentral:rRNA from 1 species